UAGGGAAUCUUCCACAAUGGACGCAAGUCUGAUGGAGCAACGCCGCGUGAGUGAAGAAGGUCUUCGGAUCGUAAAACUCUGUUGUUAGAGAAGAACACGAGUGAGAGUAACUGUUCAUUCGAUGACGGUAUCCAACCAGCAAGUCACGGCUAACUACGUGCCAG
rnacentral:rRNA from 1 species